rnacentral:rRNA from 1 species
GAGCAACGCCGCGUGAGUGAAGAAGGUUUUCGGAUCGUAAAGCUCUGUUGUAAGUCAAGAACGUGUGUGAGAGUGGAAAGUUCACACAGUGACGGUAGCUUACCAGAAAGGAACGGCUAACUACGUGCCAGCAGCCGCGGUAAUACGUAGGUCCCGAGCGUUGUCCGGAUUUAUUGGGCGUAAAGGGAGCGCAGGCGGUCAGGAAAGUCUGGAGUAAAAGGCUAUGGCUCAACCAUAGUGUGCUCUGGAAACUGUCUGACUUGAGUGCAGAAGGGGAGAGUGGAAUUCCAUGUGUAGCGGUGAAAUGCGUAGAUAUAUGGAGGAACACCAGUGGCGAAAGCGGCUCUCUGGUCUGUCACUGACGCUGAGGCUCGAAAGCGUGGGUAGCGAACAGGAUUAGAUACCCUGGUAGUCCACGCCGUAAACGAUGAGUGCUAGGUGUUAGGCCCCUUCCGGGGCUUAGUGCCGGAGCUAACGCAAUAAGCACUCCGCCUGGGGAGUACGACCGCAAGGUUGAAACUCAAAGGAAUUGACGGGGGCCCGCACAAGCGGUGGAGCAUGUGGUUUAAUUCGAAGCAACGCGAAGAACCUUACCAGGUCUUGACAUCCCGAUGCUAUUCUUAGAGAUAGGAAGUUACUUCGGUACAUCGGAGACAGGUGGUGCAUGG